UACUUUGAUUUCACGAUAGUUAUGAAACGGUAACUUGAAACACUCCUUUGUCGGAAAACUGAACAAGCUCACUUCGUUGUCGAUAAAAGUAUGACGGUCUCCAAGCUACUCGGGUAUAACUCAAAGAAAGGCAUCUUCAAAAGCGAUAAUACAGAAUUUCGACAAUUUCGAUUACUUUCACUUCGAACAGUUUUCGCACCGUAUCGAACCUUUCCUUGAAUUGACGAGCAGUCUAAUUUCUUGAACUUCAGAAGUUUGUACCAUUAUGCAAAUUUGGCACUGAUUUCAAAAUAAACCCUAUCAAGUUUCGAUUUUGGCGUAUAAGUAAGUUCAUCGCUGAAGGCAAUGAGCUAAAGGUACAAUGAAGGUAAACCAUCAGUAAACCAGCACAAGCCAAAUCAAAAGGGAAGUGAACUUCAAGAACAAAUUAAACUGAAAGUAGACAGAGUGUGUCUAUAGGGGCUUGUAUCGAUUUGGAUCUUGGUUUGGGAAAUAACAGAAUUUCAGAUGGUAACAUAACUGCUUCUUCUGUACAAAGUGCCAGCACACCAGCUAAGAAUGGUCGACUGAACCACACAUCAGGAUCAUCAUGGUGUGCAGAAACAACUGACACUAACCCAUAUCUACAGAUUGAUCUACAGACACUUCAUAUCAUAUGUGCUGUGUCUACACAAGGGAAUUCUCAAGCAGAUCAAUGGGUGAAGACUUACAAACUACAAUUAUCCACAGAUGGGACAACCUGGACAGACUACGAGGAAGGUGGACAAGUUAAGAAUGUCAAAGUCCAGCCAUUGGUGUGGCUAGCAGGGAUGCAAUUCCAGAUGGCAGCUUCUCGGCCUUAACACAUUAU